AGUGAAGCGGGAAGAGCUCAAAUUUAAAAUCUGGCUUUAUGCCCGAGUUGUAUUCUAUAGAAGUGUUUUCCUUUGAGUACCGAGAUACAAGUCUUCUGGAAAGAAGCAUCAUAGAGGGUGAGAAUCCCGUCCAUGAUCUCGAGUGGCUUAAUUUUGUGAUACACUUUCUACGAGUCAGGUUGUUUGGGAAUGCAGCCUAAAAUGGGUGGUAAAUUUCAUCUAAAGCUAAAUAUUGGCGAGAGACCGAUAGCGAACAAGUACCGUGAGGGAAAGAUGAAAAGAACUUUGAAAAGAGAGUUAAACAGUACGUGAAAUUGUUGAAAGGGAAACGUUUGAAACCAGUCAGUUGACUUGUAAUCAAUCUAUCUCGCGAUGGAUGCACUUGCAAGUUUUACUCGUCAAUGUCAGUUUGAUGGGUUGGAAAAAGAUGAUUGAAAUGUGGCUAUCUUCGGGUAGUGUUAUAGUCAAUCAUGAAAUACAACCUGUUGGACUGAGGAAUGCAGUUGAAAUGUCGGCUUCGGCUUCUAAUCAACUUAGGUCAUUGACUUAAUGGUUUUAAAUGACCCGUCUUGAAACACGGACCAAGGAGUCUAACAUAUAUGCGAGUGUUUGAGUGGCAAACUCACACGCGUAAUGAAAGUGAACGUAGGUGCGAAUCCGUCUGGAGGCAGCAUCGGCCGACCCUGACGUUUUUAACUGACGGGUUUGAGCAAAAGCAUAUCUGUUGGGACCCGAAAGAUGGUGAACUAUGCCUGAAUAGGGUGAAGUCAGAGGAAACUCUGAUGGAGGCUCGUAGCGAUUCUGACGUGCAAAUCGAUCGUCAAAUUUGGGUAUAGGGGCGAAAGACCUA
rnacentral:rRNA from 1 species